rnacentral:rRNA from 1 species
UGGUCAAGUUAUUAAGGGUGCAGGGCGGAUGCCUUGGCACUAGGAGCCGAUGAAGGACGUGAUAAGCUGCGAUAAGCUUCGGGGAGUUGCACGUAAACUUUGAUCCGAAGAUUUCCGAAUGAGGAAACUCACUUAGAGUAAUGUCUAAGUAUCAUUAAGUGAAUACAUAGCUUAAUGAGGGGAACUCAGGGAACUGAAACAUCUAAGUACCUGAAGGAAGAGAAAGAAAUUCGAUUCCGUAAGUAGCGGCGAGCGAACGCGGAUUAGCCCAAACCAAUAAAGUUUUCUUUAUUGGGGUUGCGGACAUAUCAUAACGAAGAGG